GGCAUGACAAUAAUGCCUGCCUUCAUCUCUCUCAAGCGCUGCUGCUACUUCUUCCUGGCUGUGCUUUGGUUAUCCACGACCUAUGGCGAGUCAGGUGUGCCGUCUCCUCUCCAUGUAAUUGCAGGACCGAGCACCAUAUAUCCUCUUAGCGACUUCAACCCUGAUGACUAUGAUGUGUACUGUGAUGAUGGAAACAGGCUCGUCGUUCCCGUCUGCUUGAUGAUGCUCGUCAUUAGCUGUGUCCUUCUUCUCUGAAGCUAUCUGGUUUCAUCUUCUUGGAAAAGAUGAGACUCCAAUUACGUGUUUGUACUUCAUGCUUAUCACUCCUUCGUGCAUAGUGAUCAAAGCUACUACUUAUGCUGAAA